rnacentral:rRNA from 1 species
GACGAACGCUGGCGGCGUGCUUAACACAUGCAAGUCGAACGGAAAGGCCCUGCUUUUGUGGGGUGCUCGAGUGGCUAACGGGUGAGUAACACGUGAGUAACCUGCCCUUGACUUUGGGAUAACUUCAGGAAACUGGGGCUAAUACCGGAUAGGAGCUCCUGCUGCAUGGUGGGGGUUGGAAAGUUUCGGCGGUUGGGGAUGGACUCGCGGCUUAUCAGCUUGUUGGUGGGGUAGUGGCUUACCAAGGCUUUGACGGGUAGCCGGCCUGAGAGGGUGACCGGCCACAUUGGGACUGAGAUACGGCCCAGACUCCUACGGGAGGCAGCAGUGGGGAAUAUUGCACAAUGGGCGGAAGCCUGAUGCAGCAACGCCGCGGGCGGGAUGACGGCCUUCGGGUUGUAAACCGCUUUCGCCUGUGACGAAGCGUGAGUGACGGUAAUGGGUAAAGAAGCACCGGCUAACUACGUG